UUAAUUUGAGAGUUUGAUCCUGGCUCAGGACGAACGCUGGCGGCGUGCCUAAUACAUGCAAGUCGAACGAACUCUGGUAUUGAUUGGUGCUUGCAUCAUGAUUUACAUUUGAGUGAGUGGCGAACUGGUGAGUAACACGUGGGAAACCUGCCCAGAAGCGGGGGAUAACACCUGGAAACAGAUGCUAAUACCGCAUAACAACUUGGACCGCAUGGUCCGAGUUUGAAAGAUGGCUUCGGCUAUCACUUUUGGAUGGUCCCGCGGCGUAUUAGCUAGAUGGUGAGGUAACGGCUCACCAUGGCAAUGAUACGUAGCCGACCUGAGAGGGUAAUCGGCCACAUUGGGACUGAGACACGGCCCAAACUCCUACGGGAGGCAGCAGUAGGGAAUCUUCCACAAUGGACGAAAGUCUGAUGGAGCAACGCCGCGUGAGUGAAGAAGGGUUUCGGCUCGUAAAACUCUGUUGUUAAAGAAGAACAUAUCUGAGAGUAACUGUUCAGGUAUUGACGGUAUUUAACCAGAAAGCCACGGCUAACUACGUGCCAGCAGCCGCGGUAAUACGUAGGUGGCAAGCGUUGUCCGGAUUUAUUGGGCGUAAAGCGAGCGCAGGCGGUUUUUUAAGUCUGAUGUGAAAGCCUUCGGCUCAACCGAAGAAGUGCAUCGGAAACUGGGAAACUUGAGUGCAGAAGAGGACAGUGGAACUCCAUGUGUAGCGGUGAAAUGCGUAGAUAUAUGGAAGAACACCAGUGGCGAAGGCGGCUGUCUGGUCUGUAACUGACGCUGAGGCUCGAAAGUAUGGGUAGCAAACAGGAUUAGAUACCCUGGUAGUCCAUACCGUAAACGAUGAAUGCUAAGUGUUGGAGGGUUUCCGCCCUUCAGUGCUGCAGCUAACGCAUUAAGCAUUCCGCCUGGGGAGUACGGCCGCAAGGCUGAAACUCAAAGGAAUUGACGGGGGCCCGCACAAGCGGUGGAGCAUGUGGUUUAAUUCGAAGCUACGCGAAGAACCUUACCAGGUCUUGACAUACUAUGCAAAUCUAAGAGAUUAGACGUUCCCUUCGGGGACAUGGAUAC
rnacentral:rRNA from 1 species